rnacentral:lncRNA from 1 species
UGUAUAGAAGAAGCUUUGUUCAGUUCCCACCUAUGAGUGAGAACAUGCAGUGUUUUGUUUCUCUUGGUUUUAAAAUCUAUGUCUCUUAACUGACCCUGGGAGUGGCUAAGGAAAGGUGCUUAGUCAUUAGAAUGUCCACCUAGUCGCCCAGCCAAACUGGCCCUACAGCCAAUAAAGCCAGACCCCUGUGUCCUUGCCCGUGGUGUGUGUCUAAGAUCUGUGGCUAGCGGCUCCAGCCUGGGUUGAGCAGCAGGAGAGAGCCACAGUGACCUCUGUUUGAGUAACCUGGCUGUGAGCCCUGACCCCUGGGUGGGGCUGGAGCAUUGCAGUCCAUGCCC